GUCAGAGGCACAGCCCCGGCAGCACCGAGCCCUCCCGCAGGGACCGCCGCCCCGGGGGUGCGCGGUGGCCUUCCCUGGAUCGCUGACUUCCCGCAGCCCGCCCCACCCCGCAGGAACCCGGCCGCGGGGACGUCUCCCACCGCCCGGGCACGGCUGUGGAGGGGCAGUACCCAACCACUCCUGGCUGCCCCCGUGGCCUCGAUUCACUAAAGCCUCUUGCCAUGUGCUUCAAGAGGACGCGAUAAAUCCUGCUCCGUAAUUGCCGGACUAACUUAGCUGUUUUCCUAUCUUUUAAAAUUUAUUUUAUUAUUAUUGUUACUAUAAUUUUAAUGACUUCUGGGAUGGGACUGGAGACCCAGCGCGACUUAACAUUCUUUUCAGGACCGAAGGAAAUCCCAGGUUGCUCCCGAAGUUGUCUUGGGCUCUGGUAUUUGAAGCUGGACUUGCAACUAGGCAUUAAGCAUGCAGCUGCAUUCUUGCUGUGGUCUGGUAUCCACGAGUUGAUGGAGGAACCAUGCCCCUUCAUCCCCUGCAUUUGUAAAAGUGGGUUUUUUUCUUGGGUUUGGAUUGCUGUCUUUUAUAUUUUUAUAUAACAACAUUUUCAUUUUUAUAUUAUUAUGCAUGGCCACACUUCCUCCUCUGAGAGUCUGGAAUAAAAUUUAGCAAAACAUCGGGGGGAGGAGGGAGAAAGAAGAAGACACAGUGGUCAGUAACACUCUAGAAAUUAAAAUAACCCUCAAUUUGAAUGUGUUUUUUUUUUAGUAUCAAUGACUAAGUUACUUACUGAGUAUCAAUGUCUGAGUUACUUUUUGGUGGGGCACAGAGACUGCCCAAGACCUAGGCUGCAUUAGGGAUAAGUUCAUUCCCUUGGGCUGAGCAGUUGCUUGUCACACCCGGAGUGUGCUCAGCUGCAUCACAGGGAGGAUGUUAAUUCACAUCUCCAUGGUUUAGUCUGGUGGAGUAGCACGCUAUUUCUCACUGAAGGUAGAGGAAUAGCCUCACAGAGGAAAAAAAUUACUUGCAAAAAAAAUACCAGUUGCAUGCAAAUUCAACAUGUUCUUAGUAGCGUAUGGAAAAUGCUAUAGGAAAGCAACAGCAAGUUCAACUGCAAAAUGUCAAGUCCCUUCUUCCUACCUCGCUGAGCUUGGCAAACUUUAGCAGGCUAGUGGAAAACAAGCAAACAAAUGGCAAUAGAAAAGCCCUUAUAAAUCAGGCUAACAGGAAAGUAAGGCUACGGCUUUCUGGCAAUAAUUAACUCUGAUGAAGGCCCCCCAUCUCUCUUUUUGAAAUAGCUAGCUGAGGGUUGUGGUGCCUGUGAAGAAGCAUUUGCUCAGUGAGAGAGCAGCUGUCAGCUGCUUGCUGGUUUUUCCUCCCUGGGAACAAGCUUUAGCACACUGAGAUAUGGGCAAUGCUUCACAGUUACCAUAAACACUAAGGAUAUUAGUCAUGUAUUGUUUGUGCCUACAUGACACCUAUCAUUUUAAAUCUGGCAGCUGAAAUAACUGUCUGUGAUUACAGUGGAGCUGCACUGAUUUUCUAAAGUGAAGCUAUGGCUAAGAGACUGACCUUCCUCCUGGUAAAUCCUUAAAAGUUAAAACUAAAAUACUCCUAAAAUUUUUGUUGCUUAGUGGAACCUCUUGUGCUUGUCUGGAGGUUGUCCCUAUCUCAGAAAUGGGUUGCUCAUGGGAAGCAACAUCACACUGAGACCUGUGGAGCUCUAAUGAAUACCUUCAGUUUUCACCAGGCAGAAAGGUCUACCCUGCAACUAACAGCACUGCCAUCACUACUGCAAGAAAGAUCCUUAUCUGAUUAAGUAAUUGAGGUUGUCAUAAAAAACCCCAGUAGUAGAAAGAGCCUAAAAUGUAAUUGCAUGAGCAGCCUUGACCCUCAAAUGCCUGAACCCUCUGAAUGCCAUAUUUCUCAGCUUGCAACGCCUUUCUUAGAGGAGACACAAACAAGCAGUGUGAGAACAUCAGGCUGGAAGGCAUUGCCAUCCUCAGGCAGCAGGAGUCCUCUUGCUUUUGCUGAAUUAGAGGUGUGAGCAUUUCCACCACUUCUUGCACCAUCUCCUGCUGCCUUAGGGGUAUCGAGCAAUCAAAUUCUUUGAGUGAUUAUUUGCUCUAGUUUGGGGAAUUCUGUGGUGCUAGCACUCAGUCUGUGGGUGUCUUCCCAGGACUUCCCAGGAGACCAGAUUUAUCCCCAGCCUAUCCUUGAGGCCCACCAUGCCUUCUUUCUUGGCUGUUUUUGUCAUUCAAAGUGUACCUUUCCCCUGGACGCUCACGCUUUUUUGGGCUUUUGGACUAGAAAUUAAAGUUUCAGGGAUAAGCCAUACUUUAUAUAACAGACAUUCAGAAAAAAAAUCUUGUUUAGUGCUUCUGGUCAUUUCCACCCAAUCAGCAUGUACUGAAAAAUUAGUAUGUAUGCAUCAGUGCUGACUGAGAAAACAGCUCCUGAGACAGCUGUUUUCUUACAGUGAAUCUGUAGUAAACUGAACCAGAGUUUGUAAUUCCUGUGCAGUUUUCUCAAACCCUUACAAUGCUCUUGUUCAAUGUGGGGAAUGUAUCUACUCUGCAAGUGAUUUAUCUUGGGCUUUCCUUUAUUAAACAACAAUAAAUUGAGAAAUUGUUGACUCAUAAGUUUUCAUUAGCAGUCAUUUAUCCCAUGCUCUAAUUAACCACCUGGGGCUCUACAGAAACAUGCUUGUGGUAUUCAUUACUCAGACUAAAAUGUGGGAGAAAAAAUGGUAGGAAUUUCUUGAAAGCAGAGUUUUUUCACAGCCCACAAAACAGAAUGAUGAUGGAAAAUAUGUCAAAUGCCAAUAGAUGAAGUACAUCUCCUAUGAGAAAAGUGAAAACGAAGUAUCUGCCUUAGAGAAACCAAAGCAUUACAAGGGAAAAAGAUGUGUGCUAUUUCUGAAAGCUGCUCACAAAAGAGAUGAGUGAGCUUUUUGGAGGCAUGGUAUUGCUUCAGGUCUUCUGGAGAAAGGCAAGAAAAUAUAAACUCUUAGUAUGCUAUCAUCCAAAUAAAAACUAUGUUAUAUCCUUAAAUCA